ACUCGAUAGCGUAAAAGUUAACUCAAAUUUUUAUGGAGUUUGAACGUUUGCCUACGUUUGCGUUAGGGACGGUGUUCCAACUGUAUACAAAUUUGAGUUAACUUUUACGUUAUCGA
rnacentral:pre_miRNA from 9 species